rnacentral:rRNA from 1 species
UACGGAGGGUGCGAGCGUUAAUCGGAAUUACUGGGCGUAAAGGGUGCGUAGGUGGUUGAAUAAGUUAGCUGUGAAAUUCCUGGGCUUAACCUGGGCUGGUCAGCUAAAACUGUUUAACUUGAGUAUGGGAGAGGGUAGUGGAAUUUCCGGUGUAGCGGUGAAAUGCGUAGAGAUCGGAAGGAACACCAGUGGCGAAGGCGGCUACCUGGCCUAAUACUGACACUGAGGCACGAAAGCGUGGGGAGCAAACAGGAUUAGAUACCCUGGUAGUCCACGCCGUAAACGAUGUCAACUAGCUGUUCGUCAUAUGAAUAUGAUGAGUGGCGCAGCAAACGCGAUAAGUUGACCGCCUGGGGAGUACGGUCGCAAGAUUA